rnacentral:rRNA from 1 species
AGAGUUUGAUCCUGCUCAGGAUGAACGCUAGCGGCAGGCCUAAUACAUGCAAGUCGAACGCUCAGUAGCAAUACUGGGAGUGGCGCACGGGUGCGUAACGCGUACACAAUCUACCUCUAAGCGGGGGACACCUCCUGGAAACGGGGAUUAAUACCGCAUAAUAUGCCGAGGUCGCAUGACUUUGGUAUUAAAGCAGCAAUGCACUUAGAGAUGAGUGUGCGUCCCAUUAGGUAGUUGGUGAGGUAACGGCUCACCAAGCCUAUGAUGGGUAGCCGGUCUGAGAGGAUGGUCGGCCACACGGGCACUGAGACACGGGCCCGACUCCUACGGGAGGCAGCAGUAAGGAAUAUUGGUCAAUGGUGGAAACACUGAACCAGCCAUGCCGCGUGGAGGAAUAAGGUCCUACGGAUUGUAAACUCCUUUUGACGAGGAAGAAAGUGUUAGACUUAUCUAAUUUUGACGGUACUCGUAGAAUAAGCACCGGCUAACUCCGUG